CCCUUAGAUGUUCUGGGCUGCACACGUGCUACACUGGCAGGUUCAGCGAGCUUCAUGCCCUGAUCUGAAAGGAAUGGGAAAUCUUUUCAAAACCUGCCGUGCUUGGGAUAGAUGUUUGCAAUUAUUCAUCUUCAACGAGGAUUGCCUUGUAAGCGCACGUCAUCAGCGUGCAUUGAAUACGACCCUGUAUUCUGUACACACCGCCCGUCGUUCCUACCGAUUGAAGUUUUCGGUGAGUUGACAGGAGGAUUUUUUUGAAACUGGUUCGCCAGUGGAUUUUAGAUCCAAAUGCCAACGAAUCGAUGGCUUUAGAGGAAGGAGAAGUCGUAACA
rnacentral:rRNA from 1 species